AGGAUGAACGCUGGCGGUAUGCUUUACACAUGCAAGUCGAACGCAAGUUUUUAACUUGAGUGGCGGACGGGUGAGUAACACGUGAGAAUUCGCCUUUAGGCGGGGAAUAACUAUAGGAAACCAUAGCUAAUGCCCCAUAUGCUCGCAAGAGUGAAAGGAGCAAUCCACCCAAAGAGAAGCUCGCGGCUGAUUAGCUAGUUGGUAAGGUAAUGGCUUACCAAGGCGACGAUCAGUAGCUGGUUUGAGAGAACGAUCAGCCACACUGGAACUGAGACACGGUCCAGACUCCUACGGGAGGCAGCAGUGGGAAUUUCCGCAAUGGCGAAAGCCUGACGGAGCAAUACCGCGUGAGGGAUGGACGGCCGUUAGGGUUCGUAAACCUUCUUUUAAGUCCGAAAGGGUAGGAAAGUUCUAGACCGUUGUACUUGAUAGAAUAAGCAGUCGCUAACUCCGUGCCAAGCAGCCGAGGU
rnacentral:rRNA from 1 species